rnacentral:rRNA from 1 species
UUUAGUUUAUUAAAAAAUAAUUAAAAUAAUAAGUUAAAUUAUUUAUAAAUAUAUUUAUUAAAAAAUAUAAUAUAAGUUAAGUAAAUUAUAUUGAAUAAUUGAAAAUAAAGAAAAUUUAAAACUAUAAUAUUUAAUAUAGAUAACGAAUAGUAAUGUGAAUGAAAGAUUAAAAGAUUAGUGAAAAGAUUUUGAAAUUUAAUACAAGAAAUUAUUUAAAGCGUUUUGUAAUAAAGUACCUUUUGCAUAAUGGACUAACAAGUUAAUAAGAUUAAUAAAUUUAAUAGUAGAUAUUGUAAAUUAAAUGAGUUUUAUUAGACUCGAAGUUAAUCGAUCUAUUAAUGAACAGGUUUUAGACCGAACUCGUAAAUGUUGCAAAAUUUUGAGAUGAUUUAUUAAUAGGGGUGAAAGGCCAAUCAAGAUUAGUGAUAGCUAGUUCUCGACGAAAAAUAUUUAAGUAUUGUUAAUACAAAAUUAAUUAAGGUAUUUUAAAUUUUAAAUUAUUAAAUUUUUAAGACUAAAUAAUGUAAUAUAAUUAAAGUAUUAAAACAGACGUAUCAUGUUAAGGUGGUACGUCAAGAGGGAAACAGCCCAGACUAUAAAAUAAGGUUUAUAAUAAAGAUUAAGUAAUAAUAAUUAUUUUUUAAAUAUUGAUAAAGAAGUAAACUUGAAAGUAGUUAUCUAUUUAAGAAAGUGUAAUAACUCAUUUAUUAGUAAAUAAAUUUGAUAGUAAUAUUAUGUUAAAAAAUAAUUAAACAAUGUGAUAAAUGUAUUUUUAACCGAAUUUAUAGAUUAAUAUAUAUAUUAGUGGUAGUGGAGUGUUUUAUAGCUAGUUAAAGUUUAAUUGAAAAAUUAAAUGAAUAGAUUAAAAGUAAUAAUGUUAGUAUGAGUAAUGUUAGUAGAUAGUUUGAUUCAGUAUAUCCGUAAACUCUAAAGUUUCAUUGCUAGAGAAUUUCACAGUGUAAAAAUCAAUUUUUUUAUUAUUGAUAGAUUUAAUAAAUUAUAAAUAUACUAUUUUAUAUAAUUAUAUUAAUAUUAAAUUUGAAUAACUUUGGUUUAAUUUUAAUGGUAUUAUCUAGAAAUAAAUAGUUUUAAAUUGUAUGAAAGCUGACACAAGUGAGUGGGUAGAAUAUACUAAGGUAACGAAUAAUUUUAAUUGAAGGAAUUCGGCAAAAUAAUCCUGUAACUUCGGAAUAAGGGAGUCUUGUAUAAGAGUCAAAAAAUUGAGGGUGGCGACUGUUUAAUAAAAACACAGGACUCUGCUAAAUUUAAAAUAUUGAAAAGAGUCUGACACCUGCCCAGUGUUGUUAAGAAAAAUAAAAUUAUAUAAUAAUUUUUAUAAACUCCAAUAAACGGCGGCUGUAUUCCUGACGGUCCUAAGGUAGCGAAAUUCAUUGGUAAUUGAUUGUUGUCCUGCAUGAAUGGUGUAACGACUGCCCUACUGUCUCCAAUUAAAGUUCGAUGAAAGUAUAUUAUAGGUGAAAAUGCCUAUUAAAUAUAACGGGACGGAAAGACCCUAUGCACCUUUACUAGAAUCUUAUAAUUUUUUAAUAUCAAAUAAAUAUUGAUUUUUGCAGAUUUAUUUAUUAUUAGAAAUAUGAUUAAAUAAAUAUAUAAUUAUAUAAUGUAAGAGUGCUAGUUUAACUGGGGCGGUUGUCUUCUAAAAAGUAACGUAGAUGUUUAUAAGAUUUAUUUGAUAAAAAAAUAGUUUAUAAUAUAAUUUAAUUAAUAAAUAGAUAUAUUUAUUAAUAGUAUACUAAUACUUAAUAUAUUGAUCCGAUAUAUAAUUUUUAUUAAAUAUCGAUAAACAGAUAAAAGGUACGCUAGGGAUAACAGGCUAAUAAUUUCGUAGAGUUCAUAUUGAUGAGAUUGUUUGGCACCUCGAUGUCGGCUCAUCACAUCCUGGUUGUGAAUCCGCUUCCAAGGGUUGAUCUGUUCUAUCAUUAAAGUGGUACGUGAGCUGGGUUUAGAACGUCGUGAGACAGUUUGGUCCUUAUCUGUUAUAUUAGUUAUAAAAAAUUUAAAAUCUUAAUUUAGUACGAGAGGACCGAAAAGGACAAACCGCUGAUUUAGUAAUUGUUUGAUUAAGAGCAGGUUACAAAGUUAAGUUUGGAAUAAUUAAUAUUUUUAGAAUAGAAAUUAUAUUAAAUUUUUUAUUAAAAACAAAAAAAAGAUAAUUUUAUAUAUUAUUAAUUAUAAUAAUAGUGAUAUUAAUAUAAAUUAAUGAUUAUAUUGUUUUACUUAAUUAUAAA